rnacentral:rRNA from 1 species
GACGAACGCUGGCGGCGUGCUUAACACAUGCAAGUCGAACGCUGAAGCUCAGCUUGCUGGGGGGAUGAGUGGCGAACGGGUGAGUAACACGUUAGUAACCUGCCCUCUUCUUUGGAAUAAGGCCCGGAAACGGGUGCUAUUACUGGAUAUUCACUGAUUCGCGCAUGGGGGUUGGUGGGAAGGCUUUUUCUGUUGGGAGAUUGGCUCGCGGCCUAUCAGCUUGUUGGUGGGGUGAUGGCCUACCAAGGCUUUGACGGGUAGCCGACGGGAGAGAGCGACCGGUCACAUUAGGAAUGAGAUACGGCACAGAGUCUUACGGGAGGCAGCAGUGGGGAAUAUUGGACGAUGGGCGAAAGCCUGAAGAAGGGGCGCCGGGAGAGGGAUGGAGGACUUCGGGUUGUAAAACUCUUUCGGUCAUGGUAAGGCCGUAGCUUUGGGUUGUGGUGAGGGUAGUGGGUAAAGAAGCGCCGGCUAACUACGUG